UCCGCGAUAGCUCAGCUGGUAGAGCGCCUCCCUGUUAAGGAGGAUGUCCCAGGUUCGAUCCCUGGUCGCGGAG
rfam:Candidatus Zambryskibacteria bacterium RIFCSPLOWO2_02_FTLL_44_12b rifcsplowo2_02_scaffold_1021, whole genome shotgun sequence.